GUCGAGCGGACUUGANGAGAAGCUUGCUUCUCUGAUGGUUAGCGGCGGACGGGUGAGUAACACGUAGGCAACCUGCCCUCAAGUUUGGGACAACUACCGGAAACGGUAGCUAAUACCGAAUAAUUGUUUUCUUCGCCUGAAGGAAACUGGAAAGACGGAGCAAUCUGUCACUUGGGGAUGGGCCUGCGGCGCAUUAGCUAGUUGGUGAGGUAACGGCUCACCAAGGCGACGAUGCGUAGCCGACCUGAGAGGGUGAUCGGCCACACUGGGACUGAGACACGGCCCAGACUCCUACGGGAGGCAGCAGUAGGGAAUCUUCCGCAAUGGGCGAAAGCCUGACGGAGCAAUGCCGCGUGAGUGAUGAAGGUUUUCGGAUCGUAAAGCUCUGUUGCCAGGGAAGAACGCUUGGGAGAGUAACUGCUCUCAAGGUGACGGUACCUGAGAAGAAAGCCCCGGCUAACUACGUGCCAGCAGCCGCGGUAAUACGUAGGGGGCAAGCGUUGUCCGGAAUUAUUGGGCGUAAAGCGCGCGCAGGCGGUCAUUUAAGUCUGGUGUUUAAUCCCGGGGCUCAACCCCGGAUCGCACUGGAAACUGGGUGACUUGAGUGCAGAAGAGGAGAGUGGAAUUCCACGUGUAGCGGUGAAAUGCGUAGAUAUGUGGAGGAACAC
rnacentral:rRNA from 1 species